rnacentral:rRNA from 1 species
UACGGAGGAUGCAAGCGUUAUCCGGAAUGAUUGGGCGUAAAGCGUCCGCAGGUGGCUGUGUAAGUCUGCUGUCAAAGAGCAAAGCUCAACUUUGUAAAGGCAGUGGAAACUACACGGCUAGAGUGCGUUCGGGGCAGAGGGAAUUCCUGGUGUAGUGGUGAAAUGCGUAGAGAUCAGGAAGAACACCGGUGGCGAAGGCGCUCUGCUAGGCCGCAACUGACACUGAGGGACGAAAGCUAGGGGAGCGAAUGGG